rnacentral:lncRNA from 1 species
UGCAAAUCGGUGGUUUGGAUCAUGGGGCUCUUGGCUGAAAGACUUGCUACUUGUUUUGGGAAUCAUCACCUUACCUGUGUUUCUCUUGCAGGUGCCCAUACUGUUGCUGUGGUAUCUUCCAUUACAACCAGAAUACUGCCAAAGGAGCCACCUCCAUGCUAAUGAAACCCCUUCCUGGCUGCUCAGGGCACAUUGCAGGAAACCUGGGGCCUGUAUGAUUAUAGGAGCCAGUCACACGAGGCGUGAAGUGUUGGAGGAGGUCAUUCAAUGAGGGCAGGAUUGGAGGUUACCCAUAAGCUGGGCUCCUGGCCUCCUCUGUGUCCUUGGAAUGUACCUUCUACAUACUGAUGGGACCCCCAGAGCCAUUUUCAAGGGUAUGGCUGUGACAGACAAAUAUGUGGCUGUGAUCAUCUGGACUAUAAUGUGACUUCACCCAGGUAGGGCCUCUCUAUAUAAACUUUCAGUUUCUGGCAGGUGGGUACAGAGGCCCACUCAUUUUUCCACCACCCAAGACAGGCCUCAUAUGUAAGUUCCCUUGCUUAUUAAACCUGCCACCUGGCUACCUGGAGAGGCCGCCUCCUUCUUCCAUAUGUCCUUGCCCUCCAUGUGCGGGGGGCCCAGUUUCACAUUUCACCCAGGAAACUUUGCAAAACAACGCAUGCCUUAUCUUUCAGUUGUCCUUUUAGCCUCAGAAAUAUAAAUAUUCAGUAUUAUUGGAACAAGAAAUGCCCUCAAUCAGCUUGUGACUUUGCCCAGAAGCCCUGCAAAGAGGACAGCCUGCUUACUUCUGUCCCCAAUUACAUACACUUCAAGCCUUUAUACUGGACUGUGACCAGAAAUAGUACUAUAAUUUUUCACGAGUGCAAACUCCAUAAGGCCAGGGAUGGUUUUUCUUUUGUUCACUUGUAAGUAUCAAAAUCCUGUCCAGGAUCAGGAAUACAAGAGACACUCAUCAAUGCUUAUCAAAUGAAUACAGGUCAUUGUUUAAACUAUAUGUUCUAAACUGAAGAAAUCUAAUGUUUUAUUACUUCUUUUUCAACAGAUUUGCUCCACUCAGUUUUCUAUAUUAAAACUUUCCCACAAAUAUCAUGAUGUUUACAUGGAAAAAUUGUAAAAAAAAAAAAUUCUUGCAAAGCUCUGGCAAUUUAAAAGGGAUUUACUCUCUGCAGUAGAAAAAUAUUCCAUUUGGAAAAUAUGCAAACAGAGGACAUCCAGAAAAGUACAAGGUGAGGCACAAAGAAAGAAAAACCCAAGCCAAAGCAGGAAAGGUUAUUACAAGCAGCAUGGAAGGCUGAGAAGAACAAGAGUUGAAGAUGGAGAAUGGCUGAACUCAACGUUCCUUUCACUUUAAGAGAAAUUCAAAAAGAACAUUAAAAAAAUUAGCUUUCACAUUUAUCCAAAUAGACAAUGUAUGUUAUAGUCUACAAAUAGGUGUUUGAAAACCAUCAUUCUCAUCUUCAAUAGUAUUUACUGAGUGACAAAAGUACCCUGAGAGAUCAACAGUUAAAAUGACAGUCAAGCCAUUUGAUACAGAGGUGAAAAGAAGCAAGAACCACAUGUUGCAAAACUGAAAUACCAAAUGAAGUUGUGACGUGUGAGUAACAGGGUCACAGAUGUUCAGAUGCCAUUUGUUGAGACUGGGCUCCAAAGGCCAGACUCAACAAACCAUGGAAAUUUUAAAUUUGGGAGCAUUGAUAUUAUUAAAAUAUUAUGAUUUAAGUGGACUUUAAACUUUAUAAUAGUAGUUCUUAUUUGUCCUACUUUUACUUAAGAUCAUGCUCUUGAUUUUUUUUUUUUCCUUUUUU